UCAAGACGGGCGGCAUUUAACCAUUACGCCAGCAUCCUUGACAAAAGUCGCAAUCCUCAGUCCCAGCUGGCUGUAUUCCCACGGGCUAUAACACUCUACCGAAGCAGAGCCACAUUCCCGAGGAUUUAUCCAACCGCUAAAACUGAUGCUGGCCCAGCGAAAGCCGAAGCAAACGCCAUGUCUGAUCAAAUGCCCUUCCCUUUCAACAAUUUCACGUACUUUUUCACUCUCUUUUCAAAGUUCUUUUCAUCUUUCCAUCACUGUACUUGUUCGCUAUCGGUCUCUCGCCAAUAUUUAGCUUUAGAUGGAAUUUACCACCCACUUAGAGCUGCAUUCCCAAACAACUCGACUCGUCGAAAGCACUUUACAAAUAACUGGGAUCCUCGCCACACGGGAUUCUCACCCUCUAUGACGUCCUGUUCCAAGGAACAUAGACAAGGACCAGCUACAAAGUUGCCUUCUUCAAAUUACAACUCGGACGUCGAAGACGCCAGAUUUCAAAUUUGAGCUUUUGCCGCUUCACUCGCCGUUACUAAGGCAAUCCCGGUUGGUUUCUUUUCCUCCGC
rnacentral:rRNA from 1 species